GAAGAAUUCACAUUGCUGAAAGAAUGUAUUGCAGCAAUCAAAACCAGUACCUGAUUCAACCAUUGGCAAUAUACAUUACAGACUAGUUGAUGUUAAUUACAGAAUUAAUUUAACAAUUGUUAAUACUUGUACACCUGCAAGCUAUUACAUGGAGAAAAGUUAUACCAAAUGAAUUUCUAUUUCCUUUCCCUUGUUAAUGUUUGUGUUACCCAACAAAUAACCAGGGUUGAAAACUACCAGCCAGUUCUUCAAAGCACUUGUUUGUAGCUAUACAGGAUUUGACACAUAAUGAGAAGCAUUAAAUAGAAAUAAUAUUGAAAGAGUAUUUUAGAGAAACCAGUGAGAAGAUUGAAUCAUGAAGCACUAUUGGCCAGUUUUGGCACGCUUCAUUCCACUUGAAUUGAAAGGAGAGACACUACCACAUGGUCUAUUGCUCUCUUCCCUAUAGUUUGAAUUCAACAUUGCUAAUUCUCUCAGUUGAUGCCUCUUAUAGAUAUCCUGUGACUCAUCCUGCAAAUUGGAAGAUGAAAAAAAAAGUGAAUAUCUGGGAAGGGCAUCUAAUUAUACUUCAAUGGAGGAUAAGGACCAUUUACUGAUGGUGUUUACAUACUAUUAUAAUAAGCACAUAAAUCUAAAGUAUACACACAAUUGCACAUACACAGAAUAGACAGUAUAAAGGAAAAAAGAAACAAAGACUCAAGAUUUAUGUAGUUUGAUGGUAAGGUCUAUGUUUACAAGCAAGUCAUAAGAGAAAAUUCCUCUAUGAUGAAAAAAGGACAAGUUACAAUCACUCUAAACUCAAUCCAAAUCCUAAUCCCAGUAGAUUUAUCCAAAUUUUCUCAAUAUACCGAAAUAAGCAAAAUUUAUAGUAUUUAUACUGGUUCAUGUUGGGAGGCGUUUGCCCCCUUGCACUCCCAACAAGGUUUGUGAUGAUAAUGGAGGAUACAGCUCGAUGAAGAACAGAUCUAAAAUUCAAACCACAUAACAACACACACGCUUUGUAGAAUUACCAAAAGAACCAUUAGAUCUGAAUUCACAAAGUUUAACCUCUACUUUAUAUUAGCAUGCUAGUGAUAUUGAUGCAAUAAUGUGAUAAAUGGAAGAAACAAUCUAAAUGCCAAGAAAGAGUGCAUUGAAUAGCAGGAAAAUGAGCAAAUGGAUAUCCACAAGUCAGCAGAAUGUAAGAAUGACCAUCAUAAUUUGCUUUGUGAUAGCAAAUUAGCAAUAAAUAAAAUAAUUGUCAAAGAGUGAUACCCACAGAGCCAAAUGUGUGAACAAAAUGAAACUAUUAUACUUAAAAAGAAAAAUUAAAAUAAGUAAUGUUCCUUGAUGAUUUAGAAUAGCCAGAUAAUAUCAGAAGAAAGGACGAGGCUAGUAGAUAUAUACCACAGGUUUAAGCAGUUCUUCAAUUAUUUCCUGCGCUUGUCUCAUUUGCAUAUCAAUAAUAUUGACAGGUAAUUCAGCCUCAAUUAUAAUGUGCAGAGGAUCACUAAGAUGCUCAUAGCCUGGUCUUCCCCUUAAUGACUCUUCCUUCAGAGUAAAAAAGCAAAGGAAAAAACUAUCAAGACAUUGACAAAACAAACAGAUUGAAGCAUAAAAUAAAAGACCAGAAAAUAAAUUGGCCAAGACUUAUGCUGCAACUUUGCGGGUGAGAACACAUGGUUUUCACCAACCAAAUAGCCUUUU
rnacentral:misc_RNA from 1 species